rnacentral:rRNA from 1 species
GGGUUGAAAACCAGACAAUCCAAUUUUCGGCCCCGAAUACUUAGCAUGGGAUAAUUGGAUAGGACCCUGUCCUCCUAUUUUCAGUUGGUUUUGGCAGCGCGAGGACUAGGGUAAUGAUUAAUAGGGAUAGUUGGGGGCAUUAAUAUUUAAUUGUCAGAGGUGAAAUUCUUGGAUUUAUGAAAGAUUAACUUCUGCGAAAGCAUCUGCCAAGGAUGUUUUCAUUAAUCAAGAACGAAAGUUAGGGGAUCGAAGACGAUCAGAUACCGUCGUAGUCUUAACCAUAAACGAUGCCGACCAGCGAUUAGGAGACGUUGAAUACAAAACACCACCAUCGGCGCGGUCGUCCUUGGCGUCGGUCCUUCACGGGGCCGGCGCGAGGGCGGCUUAGCCCGGUGGCACCGGUGAAUGACUCCCAGAAA